CCAGCUCCUAGAAACACAGCAGGUAUGGCUGCUGUGUCACAGGUAGGUCAGUAGGUGGCAGAGAGAACAGAGGGUGUGUCUAUGCGCAGUGUUGUAACCUAUAAGCAUCUAAAACAGAAAGCCUGAUCAG